rnacentral:rRNA from 1 species
UACGUAGGGCGCAAGCGUUAUCCGGAAUUAUUGGGCGUAAAGAGCUUGUAUGAGCGGUUUGUCGCGUCGGCUGUGAAAGCCCGGAGCUCAACUCCGGGUCUGCAGUCGAUACGGGCAGACUUGAGUGUUGCAGGGGAGACUGGAAUUCCUGGUGUAGCGGUGAAAUGCGCAGAUAUCAGGAGGAACACCGGUGGCGAAGGCGGGUCUCUGGGCAGCAACUGACGCUGAGGAGCGAAAGCGUGGGGAGCGAACAGG